rnacentral:rRNA from 1 species
AGUGAACGCUGGCGGUAGGCCUAACACAUGCCAGUCGAACGGCAGCACAGUAAGAGCUUGCUCUUACGGGUGGCGAGUGGCGGACGGGUGAGGAAUACAUCGGAAUCUACUUUUUCGUGGGGGAUAGCGUAGGGAAACUUACGCUAAUACCGCAUACGACCUACGGGUGAGAGCAGGGGAUCUUCGGACCUUGCGCGAUUGAUUGAGCCGAAGUCGGAUUAGAUAGUUGGCGGGGUAAGGGCCCACCAAGGCGACGAUCCGUAGCUGGUCUGAGAGGAUGAUCAGCCACACUGGAACUGAGACACGGUCCAGACUCCUACGGGAGGCAGCAGUGGGGAAUAUUGGACAAUGGGCGCAAGCCUGAUCCAGCCAUACCGCGUGAGUGAAGAAGGCCUUCGGGUUGUAAAGCCCUUUUGUUGGGAAAGAAAAGCAGCAGGUUAAUACCCCGCUGUUCUGACGGUACCCAAAGAAUAAGCACCGGCUAACUUCGUG